rnacentral:rRNA from 1 species
UACGGAGGGUGCAAGCGUUAUCCGGAUUCACUGGGUUUAAAGGGUGCGUAGGUGGGAAUGUAAGUCAGUGGUGAAAUCUCCGUGCUUAACACGGAAACUGCCAUUGAUACUAUGUUUCUUGAAUUUUCUGGAGGUUAGCGGAAUAUGUCAUGUAGCGGUGAAAUGCUUAGAUAUGACAUAGAACACCUAUUGCGAAGGCAGCAAACUACGCAUAUAUUGACGCUGAGGCACGAAAGCGUGGGGAUCAAACAGG